AGCGUGACGGCGCGAGCAGGUGCGAAAGCAGGUCAUAGUGAUCCGGUGGUUCUGAAUGGAAGGGCCAUCGCUCAACGGAUAAAAGGUACUCCGGGGAUAACAGGCUGAUACCGCCCAAGAGUUCAUAUCGACGGCGGUGUUUGGCACCUCGAUGUCGGCUCAUCACAUCCUGGGGCUGAAGUAGGUCCCAAGGGUAUGGCUGUUCGCCAUUUAAAGUGGUACGCGAGCUGGGUUUAGAACGUCGUGAGACAGUUCGGUCCCUAUCUGCCGUGGGCGCUGGAGAACUGAGGGGGGCUGCUCCUAGUACGAGAGGACCGGAGUGGACGCAUCACUGGUGUUCGGGUUGUCAUGCCAAUGGCACUGCCCGGUAGCUAAAUGCGGAAGAGAUAAGUGCUGAAAGCAUCUAAGCACGAAACUUGCCCCGAGAUGAGUUCUCCCUGACUCCUUGAGAGUCCUGAAGGAACGUUGAAGACGACGACGUUGAUAGGCCGGGUGUGUAAGCGCAGCGAUGCGUUGAGCUAACCGGUACUAAUGAACCGUGAGGCUUAACCUUACAACGCCGAAG
rnacentral:rRNA from 1 species